GGAAAAGCUGUAAGAACCAACUGCCAUGUAGACAGUGCCCUGUGAACAACUCUCAACAACGCAGAGCUAGCUGCUCGGUUUGUGGACAGCAAUUCCAAGAUCACGUCAACUUUUCAUUCCCAUGUGAUGUUGCAAAUCCAGAUGUGGGAAACGGAUGAUUCCUAAGCAAGAAACGGACCACGGCAGACAGAAGAGCCAAAGCAGGA